AAGGCUUUAAGUUAAUUAAACUUUUAGCCUUCAAAGCUUAAAUUGUGAUUCAAAAAUUGCAAGCCUUA
rnacentral:tRNA from 1 species